rnacentral:tRNA from 1 species
CCCUGGAGGACUAGUGGUUAGGCCUCGGUGCUUUCACUGCCACGGCUCGGGUUCGAUUCCCAGCCAGUCG